GUGCUUCUCAACACUUGAUGUGCAUAGGAAGCACCUAGUGACCUUGUCAGAAUGCAAAUUGUGAUUGGAUAAAGCUUAAUCUCCAUUAUUCUUCAAUGAUGAACAGAAUUUCAUUUCAUUGGAUAACUCAGGACAUUGUGGACAGUGAUAUCCAUGGAAAGCAAGAUACUCAACAAUGCCUUAAAUGCCAGCAGACCCUCUAAACUCACAAAAGGAGCUCCGGUCCUGCUGAGCAGGAGAACAGCAGGGUUUGGGAAAGCUGCUGAUUGAAAUGCAAGCCUUCUCCUGAGAAGAUAGAAUAUCUAGAAUCAAGAAAGAGGCAUUUGGCUUUUCCGGGUGCACCCACCCCAGCUUCACUUACAAAGGAUGAAGUUAACCAUAGGAAGUUGGGCAGCAACCAGAGUAGCAACUGGAUCUGAUCUCAAAGGACACACCAGUGAAAGAGCAGCCUUUUGUGGUUACUGAGUUAAAAUUGUUUCCAAUUACUCCGUAUUGUUUCUCUGAGAGUGAGUGAGAAGUGAUACAGAACCUUCCCUCCCUCGAACACCUGUUCUUGUGGGAAGGCGGGGGACCCCCUUUAAAACCUUGAUCCUCUACUCCAAAGCCAGUGUCUGUGGCACAAUUAAACACACAGGCAGGAACCCACAUGUCCUCUUCAGGUGUUAUUUAAGAUGGCAAGUUCAAGGAGUU
rnacentral:lncRNA from 1 species